rnacentral:rRNA from 1 species
GACGAACGCUGGCGGCGUGCCUAACACAUGCAAGUCGAACGGAGAUUACGUACGUAUGUUUUCGGAUGGAAGCCUGUACUUCUUAGUGGCGGACGAGUGAGUAACGCGUGGCCAACCUGCCCUUUACAGAGGGAUAGCAGCUGGAAACGUCUGGUCAGACCGCAUAAGUCGGUUAAAUCGCAUGUUUUGCUCUGGGAAUGAGCAAUCAGGUAUAGCAUGGGCCCGCGUCCGAUUAGCCAGUUGGCAGGGUUAAAGCCUAGCAAAGCGGCGAUCGGUAGCCGGACUGAGAGGCGGGACGGCCACAUUGGAAAUGAGACACAGACCAAAAUCGGAGGGAAGGCAGCAGUGGGGGAUAUUGCAGAAGGGAGGAAACUGUGAUGAAGCGACGCCGGGUGAGUGAAGAAGUAGUUCGGUAUGUAAAGCUGUAUGAGAAGGGAAGAUGAUGACGGUAACUGAUAAAGAAGCACCGGCUAACUACGUG